rnacentral:rRNA from 1 species
CAAUACGUCAGCGGCAGACGGGUGAGUAACGCGUGGGAAUCUACCCAGCUCUACGGAAUAACUCAGGGAAACUUGAGCUAAUACCGUAUACGUCCGAUAGGAGAAAGAUUUAUCGGAGUUGGAUGAGCCCGCGUUGGAUUAGCUAGUUGGUGGGGUAAUGGCCUACCAAGGCGACGAUCCAUAGCUGGUCUGAGAGGAUGAUCAGCCACACUGGGACUGAGACACGGCCCAGACUCCUACGGGAGGCAGCAGUGGGGAAUGUUGGACAAUGGGCGAAAGCCUGAUCCAGCCAUGCCGCGUGAGUGAUGAAGGCCCUAGGG